GCGCAGCACGCGGCAGCGCAAAACGCGGACCACGAUGUUUGCGCAGGGCACGCACGCAUUUUUUAGGAGUGUUGGUUUGCCUUUGCCGUACAAAAAUGACACGCAAUAGUGAGGAUCUGUAAAAAAAACGACGCGCAGUUCAUAACAUUCUUGUUUUUCAUUAUUUGAAUGCAUAAUUACUGACGUAAAAUUUAUUGUUUCCCCUCCCAAAACCUAUAAGAAUUUUACAAUAGUGCGGAAAUUGUGUGUUUUGAUGUUGUGCGAAGGCAUGACUUCCAUGCCCUGCGUGUCCUACGGUCCAACGAUAGGGCGUAAAGUUACGUUUACUAUGAAUGAUUUUAUCUCUUUCUAAACUCCAGAAUCAGUGAAUGACCGUGUGAAAUAAACAGCGUGCGAAAUAAACUCGAGAACAGUGAAUAGUGGUUGUUUGUGUAACUUGUUAUUCUCAUGGCGUAACCGUAACGCGGUAAUAAAAUUGUCAUCGUUGUUAUUGUCGCCGUGAAAUACUCUCAACGAGUCGUCAACGCAGCCACGACGGGCCGUGGUGCAUUCGUUACGGUGUCCGAUUCAUCCCAACGGGUGUGUUUACGCGCUAACCGCCCAGUGAGCAGAUAAAUCGUAUUUUUAGUCGAGGCGCGUGUCAUCGGCGGGAUAUCGACAGGCACUCGGGUGACUUUCAUCACGGAAUUCGUAAACAACUUGAAGGUUAUCGGUCGGCAUGCGGAGGUAGCGGGCGGGCGGGCAUGCGGCGCGGCUAGCAUGGCCGGGGCGGGCGCCGUGGUGCGCCACGGGUACCUGCGGAAGCUGAAGACGAUGAAGCGGAAGUACUUCGUCUUGAGAGAGGAGGGAGCAGACUGUUCAGCGCGGCUGGAGUACUACGAGUCGGAGAAGAAGUUCCGUGCGGGGGCGGCGCCACGGCGGGUUGUUCCCCUGAGGAGCUGCUUCAACGUGGCGCGGCGGCUGGACCUGAAGCAGCGCCACGUGAUCGCGCUGUACACCAAGGAGGAGCAGUUCUGCGUGGUGGCGGAGGGCGAGGACGACCUGCGCGCGUGGCUGGCUGACCUGCUGCGCCAGCACGCCGCCGGCGACGCGCCGCCCGAGCUGCUGCACCCCACACAGCACGUCUGGCAAGUGAAUGUCCAGAAGAAGGGGCUAGGCGCCUCUAAGAACAUCAUCGGUCUGUACAACCUGUGCCUCACCGACAAGACCCUGACGCUGGUGAAGAUCCGGCCCAAUAAUAACACAACUGGAGAGCAGCUGAUGACCGAUGGAGUGGAGUUCUCGCUGAGGAAUAUUAGGAGAUGCGGCGACUCGGAGUGUUUCUUCUACAUGGAGGUGGGGCGGCAGACGGCCACCGGCGCCGGCGAGCUGUGGAUGCACACCGACGACGCCAACAUCGCGCUCAGCAUGCACCACACCAUCUACAACGCGAUGUGCAACUGCAAAGACGAGAAGGAGCUCCAGCCGGCGAUGAGGAACAGAUCCUCUUCAGCAUCAGAGGACCCCCGCACGGGGUCUCUGCCGCCGCGGCGCUCCACCUACUCCGACGGACGUGGCCGCGCCGGCCUCGGCACAGAGAAGAGCUUAUGCGUUGGCUCGUGCAUAAAGCAAUGUGUCUGUUCCACGACGUACUCCAUAGACGAGUCGGCGGCGUCCAUCGCGCCACUGGCCACUAAUAACGCCGACUCGAAUAACCCACUAACAGAGGCGCGCGCGCACCAGCGCACGGCGUCGCUACCCACCGGAUAUCCGGCCUUCACCGCCGAACCGCUCAAAAUAGUCCACGAGCGAACCCGCUCCGCGCCGCUCACCGGCGACGAAGUAGACCGAGCCACCAUAGAGAAGGCCGCUAGACACUCGUCCUGCAAAACCGUCAAUGGAUACGGAAGCGACUUUCUACUCAAAAAGUCGUGCCAAUGGGCCCGCCGCGCCAGUACCGGGGCGCGACUGUCCAAGUUGUCGCCGGCGCAUAGUAAAAACGCGCCGACGAUCCGCAACCGUUGCGACAGUAUGCCGUCCCGGACGUGCCCGCCGAUCGACGCAGAGCGCACGCCUUCGCGGCUGCCGUCUACUAAUGAAGUCGGCGACAUCGGUCACGACGAGGCGGACGCGGCGGAGUGGCCCCGCGCGCCGCGCAUCCCCGAGGAGCCCGACUACUGUGACGUCACGCCGAGGACCAACAUGUACAACCGCAAGAUGUCUCUAUCUGCGCAGUCGAAGGCUGAAGAAGACGGGUACCUCGCCAUGUCCGUGUCGGAGCCCGGCGGGACGCCCUGCAGCGACACCGUGUGCAGUGGGACGCCCUCCACCGACCCCCGGUUCAGUGAAUACAACCUAGAGCCGGCCACAGCUCACUUCAGCUCCUCAGCCUCUCGCUCCGCGCGCGCCUACAGCGUGGGGUCGCGCCCCGCGCCGCCGCCCGCGCCCGAGCGACUCAGGGCCUACAGUGUGGGCGCCCGCACUCGCGCCGUCCGUUCCACGCCCAGCAAGCAGCACAACUCCAACUCCGCGCCCCUCCUGCCCCGAGGGUCUACUGACGACCUGAUGGAGCUGGACUUCAGCAACAACUCCCCCAAGAGUGUGGUCAUCAUGGCGACCACGCCGCCGGCGAAUAGUUACUUGAUGAGGAAGCCCGUCAAGCCGAAACUUGACCUGUUGGAGCUGGACUUCAGCAACAACUCCCCCAAGAGUGUCGUCAUCAAGGCCACUACGCCGCCGGCGAAUAGCUACUUGAUGAGGAAGCCGGUUAAACCUAAACUUGACGAGUACGUGGACAUGUCGCCCCGCGCCAGCGGCUACGUGGAGAUGAAGCCGUCGCACCCCCUCCCGCUCCCCGCGUCGCCCCCGCGCGCCCCCCCCCGCCCCCGCGCCCGUCGCCACCACGCCCGACGGCUACGUCGAGAUGAACUACGGGAAGAAGCACGACGACCGCACGCCCUCGAGACCCAUCUCCAUCGCGCCCCGAGACAGGAGCAGCAUACCUACAGGACUGGUCACACCGGACAAUAACAGGUAUAAGCGAAGCCUUAAUAAGGAACCCGUCACGCCGCUCAGCUCGCAAACUAUAUUCCCGUUUAAUCUAGACAGCCCGGCCUCCCCGAUGAGGCCGGAUGAUAAUAGACACCACGAUUUAGACCACUCGGAGUUGUUCGAUGAUGAAAUCCAUCAUCAUCCGCUGACGACUGUCAGAGAGAUUUCGGAAGAAUGCGGCAGGAAAAGCCCAGAUAUUGGGUCUCCGCCGCAUUAUGUGACGCUUCCACGCACGGUCAGCCAGCCAAUCGCGGCGCCGCCCAAAAUAACGACCAAUGGCGACGAGUUGUCCUGCAACCCGACAGCCACUAAGAUCUGGGCGGGAGACCCCACCGGCAAGCCGAGGUUCACAGGGGAUGACAGGAAGAGCUCGUCGCCCGCGCCCAAUGAAAAUGCGACUCUAAACUAUGCGGCGUUGGAUCUAGAACAGAAAAACCCGACGGCCCCAAGCGCGCCGCGCGCUUAUACACAGAUAGACUUCGCUAGGAGCGAGAAGCUACACGCCGGCGACGCCAACUAGUCUAUACUGUAUAUUUUACAUAUAAAUACAUACCCCCUUGUUUCAAAUAGUUCCCGGUUUUAAAGCCCAGGAAAUAAGGUUUUCCCGUGUGAAACUGAAGUCUCUCUGCCGUUCGAGUGUGUUAGCGGAGUGCGGUACUAACCAAACCACUAUCGUUAUACUUAAGUAAUAGUCAACUGCCAUUUAUGUGUAAGAGUAGCGGCGACGUAGCUGUGUAAAUAUAUUAUGAAUAGUUGUUAGAUUGUAUAGCGUUUGGGCACUAUGAGUGUACGGAUAAGGUUCAAGAUGGAUUGGCUCGCGAGAUGGUUGUUUAGGAAAGUGUUUGAAGGAGCGUUUCGCUUGAGUGACUGUCGCCUUUAUAUAUACAUAUAUUUAUCGACUAAUAAUUGCUAAUGAUUAUACAAUAAUGGAGCAUAUUAUGUAAGUAAUAUAGACAAAUUUAUACUUGUAUUGUAUAUAACCGUUUUAAGGCACUGUUAACACUCGCUCAAGCGAAUAGCAAAUGUGUUGGACCUGAACUUUGAAUGCUAACUGAUAAAGAAUCAUGUUUAAAAUUAUUUUAUUGUUAGUGUUCAAAAGCAGGCUAGUAAGUGUAGCACAGUCGUGCGAUGUGUAAGGCAUUGAUGGUCAUAGGAUGGUCGUCCCAUUUGUACUUGUGUUAAAUCUAUCUAAAAUUUACUCUAUCUAAGGGCUAGAAUCGCUUGCUUACACUCGGUUUUGAUACCUACAUCGGAAAAUUGAUUAAAAUUUCACGAAAACUAAAAUUUUAACAAAACUUUAAUGCGAUGUAAUUUUGGUGGUUUGGAAGAUUUUUCUUUUUAUAGAAAUUUAGGUCAAAACAAAAAAAAUAUGUGAAUUUAGAGUAUAAUUCGAUGCGGUAUCAGACUUAGUGAGUCUUAGCACAUUUCGUUACCUACUUGUUGUUAAAUUUAUCUUCUCUAUACUAUUAUUAUUACUUAUGUGUAUCUUUAAUGUAUUAUACUUACUCCCCUUUAUAAAAGUGCAUGAUUAAAAAGAUGUAUGUAUUCUAGACCUAUAAAUAGUCUGUCUCAGUAUAAAUACCUACACGAUAUAUUCGGAUGUAAUUCGUAAAUGCAGCCAAGAACACACUAGGCACUAUAAUCAGUGACACAUAGUAUAAGGUACUGUCAUAAAAUAGUGUAGCCUGACAUAGGUACAUUUAAAAAUCACCACAAUAUUCAAUAUGUAUGUCUUUUUGAUUGAAACUGUGCGAUUGUUUGAUAGUCCCUUGUGAAAAGUUGCAUGGAUAGGAUUGAUGAGUAAUGUCCACGUCACAUUAUAUACCUUUUUAUAUAGAUAAUAGAGUAUAAUAUGCCACGGUUGUGAGAGGGGUCUAAAAUUUGUUCACUCAGAUUUGAUCAUUAUGUUCCGUAAAAAGCUUCGUUCAACGCGCGGCUUUUCGUCACUAUACCAUAAAUAGUAGCAGUAAUGUAACAAUAUGCAUUAAUAUAAGGUUAUAAAUAUUUUAUCAAUAUAGGUACUUUAGUCGAGAUAUUCACAGUGUAUAAUGUUCUGUAUUUUGUAAGUAAUAGAGUGCGUUUCCGAAUGGCGGAUAGCCGCGUGUUGGCGAGGCGAGCAACCUAUUGUGUUCUCUAGGGUAAUACUGUACACUAAACACGCUAAAUCUUAUUUCUACACAUUACUUGUUAUAAGCUGAGUACUUUCAACAUGGCAAUAGUCAUUUAUGUCUAAGCGUGGAGUGUCUAUUGCCAUCAUAGAAAGGAAAUGUACAUUAUAUUGCCUUACUAACUUGAUUCUUGGUCAAAGGAAUUUAAAAGCAUAUCAAUAUACGUAUACAAAGUUAAAGUUAGUUCGAAUUAUCUUCGGUACUAAUCAUUCAAAAGUGCAUACUUAUUUGUUUUGAAAAAUGUUGAAUAAAAUUAAAUAAUAAACAAUGUUUUAUUCCCAAUU